rnacentral:lncRNA from 1 species
UUUUUUUUUUUUUUUUUUAACGUAUAAAUCCAGUUCUUUCAGCACCAUUUAUGGAGAAUUUAUUCCCCUACCCCCACCUCAACACUACGCUGCUUUGGAACCCACUUAGAAGAUCAAGUAGUUGGUGUUUGGAUUAAACCAACUUUGCAUUUCCAGAAGGAACUCCACUUAGUAAUGGUGUAAUCCUUUAUGUAGACUAUUUGUUGGAUUUGGUUUGGUGAUCUUUUGCUAAGAAUUCUUGUUAUCUAUUUCCAUGAAGGAAAUAUGGUUCUUUUCUUUGUGACGUCUGACAUAGGUACCAUUACUUACAGCUUCCUUAGUAGCGACCUUAGAAUGGUGUGAGAAAUGCUCCCUCUUCCUCUAUUUUUUGAGUUUGUAUAGAAUUGAUGUUAUUUCUUAUCUAAAUAUUUGGUAGAAUUCAACAUCAGAGUCAUGUGUACCUGAGCUUUGUUUUAUGGAAAAUUUAUAAAUUACGAAUUCAAGUUCUUUGUUUGUCUAAGUCUUUUCAGAUUUUAAAAUUUCUUUUUCAGUAGUUUUUCUAAUUUUAGUCUUUCAAAGAAUGUGUCUAUUUCACCUAUGCUGUCCAAUAUGUUGACGUACAAUUGCUAUGAAUAUUCUCUUACACUCUUUUAAUUUUUCUAUGUUUGGUAGCGAUGUGCCCUCUUUCAGUCUUAACUUUGGUAAUGUGUAUCUUCUCCAUUUUUUUCCUUUUGUUAGUCUAGGUAAAUGCUUAUAAAUUUAUCGAUCUUUUAAAAUAACUGAAUUUUGGUUUAAUUGAUGUUCCUAAUUUUUUUCUUUUAAUAUCUUAUUAAUUUCUGCUCUGACUUUACUAUUUUCUUCCUUCUGAAUGAUUUGGGUUUAAAUUUAUUUUUUUUUAACUCUUAUGGUUAAACCUUAGAUUAAUGAUUUGGGACAUUUCUUCUUUUAUUUUAAUGCAAGUGUUAGGAGAAAUAAAUUUUCCUCUAAGCACUGUCUUUACUGCACCCAUAAAUUUUUUUUUUGUCUUUUUGCCUUUUCUAGGGCCGCUCCCGCGGCAUAUGGAAAUUCCCAGGCUAGGGGUCGAAUCGGAGCUUGGCCUUAGAAAUGGCAAAAAAAGACAACAAAAAAAAAAAGAAAGAAAGAAUUAUGCAGAAUGAAACUUAAUUUCUACAGAAGUAUAGUCAGGUGUUUUGGCAAUUUGUAACAGAAAUUUUCCAACAGUUAGUGUAAGCCAUUUGAGGAGAGACUGAGAUACACCCAUGACGUGAAAGCAGGUAUGCUAGAAACUAAAACUAUUUUCGCUCACUGUCACAUUCAAAUAGACAUGCUCUGGGGAAAGAGGCAUUAUUGUGUCUUCAGGCUGGAAAAAGAAAGAGUCAAAGGUACUUCUAGAGCUAGCUCAGUCUGAAAUUUUCUAUUCUGGUGAGAUCGGUGUGGGAGAGUUGAAGGGACAGAAGAAACGGUGGAAUCAGAGAGUAGGAAACGACGCUGUGCCACAUCUUGUCCAGCAGUCACAAGAGUGGGGAGACUGGAAGGUUCCUUGCUCAAGUGCAUAUGUGUCUCAGAUUGUGAUGAGGGGGGGUCCUGAUGCCCAGAAGAAUGUAUUUUCCUAUUGUUUUCGGAUGAAGUUCUAAUCAUUUUGAUUUGCAGCAGUAGCUUGUUCCUUUCCUGGGACCAAUGUAUAGCAAAGAGUGGC